rnacentral:lncRNA from 1 species
UUCUGGUUCAGGUUCUGGGUUUAGGUUCUGGUUCUGGGUUUAGGUUCUGGCUCUGGUUCAGGUCUGGGUUUAGGUUUGGGUUCAGGUUCUGGUUCUGGUUCUGGACUCCCCAUAACGGAGCUGCACCACCUGCAACACAACGGGGUCAAGGCUCUGGGUCUGGUUCUGGUUCGGGUUCUGGUUU